rnacentral:rRNA from 1 species
GCUGGCGGUGCGCCUUAUGCAUGCAAGUCGAGCGAAGCUUUUCAGUAGUUUACUACAGAAAAUGACUGAGCGGCGAACGGGUGAGUAACGCGUGAGCAAUCUACCUUAGUUACAGGGAUAGCCCGAGGAAACUCGGAUUAAUACCUGAUAUUCUUUACAUUUCGCAUGAAAUCAAAAGGAAAGGUCAGCCGAACUAAGAUGAGCUCGCGUUCUAUCAGCUAGUUGGUGAGGUAAAAGCUCACCAAGGCAACGACGGAUAGCUGGUCUGAGAGGACGAUCAGCCACACUGGGACUGAGACACGGCCCAGACUCCUACGGGAGGCUGCAGCAGGGAAUAUUGCGCAAUGAGCGAAAGCUUGACGCAGCGACACCGCGUGUGGGAUGACGGAUCUAGGUUUGUAAACCACUUUCAGGAGGGAAGAAAAUGACGGUACCUCCACAAGAAGCCCCGGCCAACUACGUGCCAGCAGCCGCGGUAAUACGUAGGGGGCGAGCGUUGUCCGGAUUUAUUGGGCGUAAAGAGCUCGUAGGCGGUUCAACAAGUCGGUCGUAAAAGUUCAGGGCUCAACCCUGAAAUGUCGAUCGAUACUGUUGUGACUAGGAUACGGUAGAGGUGAGUGGAAUUCCGAGUGUAGCGGUGAAAUGCGUAGAUAUUCGGAGGAACACCAAUUGCGAAGGCAGCUCACUGGGCCGCUAUCGACGCUGAGGAGCGAAAGCUAGGGGAGCAAACAGGAUUAGAUACCCUGGUAGUCCUAGCUGUAAACGAUGGAUACUAGACGUAGGAACUGGAUUGACGGUUUCUGUGUCGUAGCUAACGCGUUAAGUAUCCCGCCUGGGGAGUACGGUC